rnacentral:rRNA from 1 species
CCUACGGGGGGCUGCAGUGGGGAAUAUUGCACAAUGGGCGCAAGCCUGAUGCAGCCAUGCCGCGUGUGAAGAAGGCCUUCGGGUUGUAAAGCACUUUCAGCGGGGGGGAAGGCGGUGAGGUUAAUAACCUCAUCGAUUGACGUUACCCGCAGAAGAAGCACCGGCUAACUCCGUGCCAGCAGCCGCGGUAAUACGGAGGGUGCAAGCGUUAAUCGGAAUUACUGGGCGUAAAGCGCACGCAGGCGGUCUGUCAAGUCGGAUGUGAAAUCCCCGGGCUCAACCUGGGAACUGCAUUCGAAACUGGCAGGCUAGAGUCUGGUAGAGGGGGGUAGAAUUCCAGGUGUAGCGGUGAAAUGCGUAGAGAUCUGGAGGAAUACCGGUGGCGAAGGCGGCCCCCUGGACAAAGACUGACGCUCAGGUGCGAAAGCGUGGGGAGCAAACAGGAUUAGAUACCCGAGUAGUC